GGGGCCCGGGCAGCGCCGCUCCCGCCGCCCCUCCGUGACGGGCCGCCCCGCGCUCCGGAGCGGACAGCUGCUUAGCACAAGCUGAUUUGCCCUGUACGGCUGUUAUGUACUUCAGAAUAACUGUGGCUGAGUGAACAGAGGGAACGUACACAUCCAGUUCCAAAAUCUACCUGAGAAAAUAGAUUAUAUCCCCUGUUUGCCUUGGAUUAAUGAGAUUUCCUUAUGUGGUCGAGUAGAUGUGUUUAUUUCAGCCUUAAAAUUGCUGGUGGAAAUCCUUGCUAUGGCAUCUGUGGCUUCACCGGUUGUAUUUAAGGAAUUUUGUCCCUUAUAUUAUCUCCUCAAUGCCAUUCCUACAAAGAUCCAAAAAGGCUUUCGCUCUAUUGUGGUGUAUCUCACAGCACUUGAUACCAAUGGAGACUACAUUGCUGUGGGGAGCAGCAUUGGGAUGCUUUAUCUCUACUGCAGACAAUUAAACCAGAUGAAAAAAUACAAUUUUGAGGGGAAGUGUGAAUCUAUUACUUUUGUAAAGCUGCUGAGUUGUUUUGAUGAUCUGGUUGCUGUUGGUACAGCCUCAGGUCGGGUUGCAGUUUUUCAGCUUGUGUCUUCAUUACCUGGAAGAAACAAACAGCUCCGGAGAUUUGAUGUUGCUGGCAUCCACAAAAGUAGCAUUACAGCUUUAGCUUGGAGUCCCAAUGGAAUGAAAUUAUUCUCUGGAGAUGACAAAGGAAAGAUUGUCUACUCUGCCCUAGACCUAGACCAGGGUAUUUGCAACUCCAGCCUUGUAUUGGAAGAGCCAUCUUCGAUUGUCCAGUUGGAUUACAACCAGAAGGUGCUGCUUGUCUCUACUUUACAACGCACUCUACUUUUUUACACAGAAGAGAAAUCCGUCAACCAAGUUGGAACACAGCCCAGAAAAAACACUGGCAAGUUUGGAGCAUGUUUUAUACCUGGCCUGUGUAAACAGAGUGACCUGACGCUAUUUGCUGCCAGACCUGGGCUUCGUCUCUGGAAGUCUGAUGUUCACGGAACUGUUCAGGCCACAUUCAUAUUAAAAGAUGUAUUUGCUGGAGGGAUAAAAACUUUUGAACUGUAUCCUCGUUUGGAACCACCUGACAGGGGAAGUUACAGCUCUCCAGAGAAACACUUUGGGCUUGUUUCGUGCUUUUUCCGAGAAGGAUGGGUGCUGACCUGGAAUGAAUACAGCAUCUACUUGCUAGACACUGUGAACCAGGCUUUGAUUGGUGGCUUGGAAGGAUAUGGUGAUAUUGUGUCUGUGUCCUGUACCAACAAUGAGAUUUUUCUCUUAAAGGGAGAUAGAGACAUAAUAAGAAUUUCAAGUAGACCUGAAGGACUGUCAUCAAUAGAUACGAGUCCUAAAUUGCUGACCCCAUCAUCAGUAGUUUCAUCUGUAUCAUCCAGCCCUUCAGUGGAAACAGAUAAAAAAAUGGUUGCUUCCCUUUUGGUUACUGGUGAUAAAAAUGGUUCUUCGGUGAAAGAUGAUCUGGAAACUCCAACGCUGUCUGAGAAAAGUUUUGAUAGAAUGGGAGACUUGAGCAAUGAAAUGAGAAAAAGGGGCUGCUCUGUAGUAAGUGAAUCACGAAGCAGGAGCAGUUCUGUGAACUCUGUGGACAGUGGCUCGAGCUUUAUGAUGUGUGCAGACCAACUUUCAGAAGCUCAGAGAGAAGGUCAACUUUCUUCACAACGGUUCAGCACCAUCAGCUCUGAAGAUUUUGAUCAAGAACUCAUUGUAAAGCCAAUUAAAGUAAAAAAGAAAAGAAAGAAGAAACAGGAAAGUGGGACAAGGAAAAACCACAGCUCUCUGGAAGGCACACCAAUUUAUGAGCGUCAGCUUUCUGGUGACAGUCCCCAUUCAUUGAAUGCAGACUCCUUUUCCAUGACCUCCAGCAUAAUGAGUGGCAGCAUUGAUCAUUUGAGCACUGGAUCUCCAGAUCAGGAAAGCAUGUUCAGUAUGGAGUCCCAUACAAUCUUGCAAGAAGAUAACGGUUCAGAAACUUUCAGUGUCCUACAGUCUCCUGAGUCAGCAACUGUACUAAUUAAUGAAGAAAAUGGAGAGGUGGUUGAUUUGCAGAAACUUCCAAACAGUGACAGUGGCAUGGGUACUUCAGCUAUUAUAGAUACUUUGACAUCUGCAUCUCCUCUGAUCCUCACAGAAGACUUGACAAGCAGUAUUGAUGGUGAAUAUAAUGGUAGUGUGGUUUCUGCAAGCAAAGAAUGCUGUCCUGGAAAGCUGAGCCAAGAGGAGGAGCAGGAUUUUCCUAUGUUGUGUAAAAUAGAUGAAGAUUUGGAUAAAAUGAAGCUGCAGGAUACUGAAAAGUCUUUUGAAGGGCCAGACCUUACAGACCAGACGUUUUUGGAACGUGACCAUACAUUUGGUGUUCAGACAUCACUGACACCAAAGGAAAGUGAUGAAAUUGGUAGGGAAGACCAGCAGGAGCUCUCCCUAAUCCACAGCGCUCUGUCAGACCCUUCUGCGCUCCGCUUUGACAUCUCUAACGAUGUUUGUUCAGAUAACGCUUCCAUUUCUGGAUGGAAUUUUGAAAGUGCAAUCAAAGCUAAAUCUAGUGCUAGCACUGCUGAAUGGGUAGCAGACACUCAUGAAAGUAAGACUGAGAAAUCUGCCUCAAGUGAUGAAGAGGAUAUUUAUGGCCAUGGAUUACCGUAUUCAUCCUCGGAGACCAGCAUGCCUGAAGCUGGUGCUGUGCCUGGCUCACAGGAUGUGGCCAAGAUAAGCGCCGAUGAAAUGGUGCUGUUAAAAUCUGAUCAGUUUGCAGAGAGCUGGAUGGGGUACUCUGGCCCUGGUUAUGGCAUCCUGAGCCUGGUUGUUUCAGAAAAGUACAUUUGGUGCCUGGACUACCGAGGCAGCCUGUACUGCAGUGCCCUUCCUGCGGCCGGGCUGCGCUGGCAGAAGUUCGAGGAUGGAGUCCAGCAAGUGGCAGUGUCCCCAUCAGGGGCUCUUCUCUGGAAGAUUGAGCAGAAGACUAACAAAGCCUUUGCUUGUGGAAAAGUAACUAUAAAAGGAAAACGCCACUGGUAUGAGGCUUUACCCCAGGCUGUAUUUGUAGCUUUAAGUGAUGACACCGCCUGGAUUAUCAGAACAAAUGGAGAUCUGUAUCUGCAAACAGGCCUGAGUGUGGAUCGUCCUUGUGCCCGAGCAGUAAAGGUUGACUGCCCUUAUCCACUGUCACAGGUUACAUCCAGAAAUAAUGUAGUGUGGGCCCUGAGUGAACAGCGGGCCCUGCUGUACCGGGAGGGAGUGCGCAGCUUCUGUCCUGAGGGAGAGCAGUGGAAGAGUGAUAUUGUCAGUGAAAUGCAAGCUUUGGAACCAGUGUGCAUAACCCUUGGAGAUCAGCAGACAUUAUGGGCUUUGGAUAUCCAUGGCAAUCUCUGGUUCAGAACUGGUAUAGUUUCAAAGAAACCACAAGGAGAUGAUAACCAUUGGUGGCAAGUGAGCAUCACUGAUUACGUAGUGUUUGACCAGUGCAGCCUGUUCCAGACAAUAAUCCAGGCAACUCAUACAGUGGCAACAGCAGCUCAGGCACCUGUGGAGAAGGUGGCUGAUAAGCUUCGAAUGGCAUUUUGGUCACAGCAGCUUCAGUGUCAGCCCAGCCUCCUCGGAGUUAAUGGCAGUGGAGUCUGGAUCUCUUCAGGCAAAAAUGAAUUCCAUGUAGCAAAGGGAAACUUAAUAGGCACUUAUUGGAAUAAUAUUGUGCCUCGUGGUACUGCUUCUGCCACAAAGUGGAUUUUUGUGUUGGCUUCCACAGCUUCAUCUAAAGAAGGAAGCUUUCUGUGGCUGUGCCAAAGCAACAAGGAUCUGUUUUGUGUCAGUGAUCAGAAUCCUCAGUUUCGUCCUUCUACAGUCCAGCUGCCACCAGAGGCUGAGAUGGUGCACUACUCUGCCUGCCAGGAUGCCAUUUGGGGUUUGGAUAGUCUUGGGCAGAUAUUUAUCAGAACACUUUCAUCCAGCUGCCCAACAGGGAUGCAUUGGACAAAACUGGAUCUCACCCAACUAGGUGCUGUAAAGCUGAUCAGCUUGACCUGUGGAAAUCAGCAUGUUUGGGCCUGUGACACCAAUGGUGGCAUUUAUUUCCGUGUAGGAACUCAACCUCUUAACCCAAGUUUGAUGCUUCCUGCGUGGAUAAUGAUUGAGCCACCUAUACAGCCAGUAGGAAUCAACUUGGUCAGCAUUCAUUCAAGUCCAAAUGAUCAGAUGUUGUGGGCAAUUGAUAGCAAAUGGAAUGUCCAUGUGCGAGUUGGAAUUACAGAUGAAAUGCCUGUAGGCACUGACUGGGAACAUGUACCAGGUUUGCAGGCUUGCCAGCUGGCCAUAAGUACAAGGACCGUUUGGGCACGGUGUCCCAAUGGAGAUGUAGCUCGUCGGUACGGCAUUACUGACAAGAAUCCUGCAGGAGACUACUGGAAGAAGAUUCCUGGAAAUGUCUCACGCUUAACAGUGACCCCUCUAGAUGAACUGUGGGCAAUCAGUACCUCAGGAUCCCUGCUCCAGCGCCUCACUAAGACCUUUAGCCAUUCCCAUAGUUUGCAGAAAAAUAAUGACACUUCUGUUUUGCUUCACCCUGAUGAUUUUGAAGAUGAAUGGGAAGUGAUAUGAAGUCUCUCAAGCUCGUGAAGCAGUGAAAAAAACAGGACAGAAUUUCUGUGAUGGAGAAGUUUGGAUUACACCUGAUAUCAGGGGGACUUUCACCCAUUUCCAUAGCCAUCAGGAAGCUGACAGAUUUUUGGGGGUAAGUCCCAGUUUGGAAUAAGAAGAGGUCGCUUGUUGGGUUUGUAGUACAAAGCAGGAAUGUAAAGGCAGCUUUCAUAAUUCCUGUUGUGCUGUAUUUGUGCCUCCAGCCAGUGCUUUAACAUUUGGACUCAUAUUGUUUUGAGUACCAAACUUAGAUGUAUUAAGAGAAAAAGUGGUAAUAGAAUUACCUAUAUAUCCCGUUAAAAAUUGUGAUAUUGUGAGAAAAUACUUAACAAUAUUCUGAUUUUUAGCUAUGUUAGCUAAAUUUUGAAGUGUCUUAUAUUUAACAGAGGUUGCAGCAGGAGUAUGUGAUGAACUGGGAAGUAACUUAAGUUAAUAAUUGCAGCUUAUUUUUCUUUAUACUAAAUCUUCUUUGAAAGAUACCUCAUCUUUUUUAAGCAAUAGAACUAUAGAUGAGAGAACCUGAGUUCACUAUGUAGGCAGAGGAGUUAUUUUGUGUUUGUUCUAAGCUUAUAAAUCAUCAGAAUGUUUUAAGCAGCUGUUAACCAAUACUGUAAAAGAGCCAGCUUCAGAAAAGGCCAAGAGUUGACAAGUGGGGAUGUUUCUGUUUUGAGAACUUAAUACACACGGAAAAGGAUGUGUUUUCUUUUGAACCUCUGUUCUCUUUCAGAACAGUUCAUGCGUGUACUGCACUAAACUUGGAACAAACAUGGUGCAAGGUGAGAAUGUGAAUCAGUGGAGAGAGAACCAAGUUAUGUCACCUUUUUUUUAGUAGCACUUGUGAUAUUGGCUGUGAGUUCUCAGCCUGAUCUCAGUCUUACAGGGAGGACAGAUUUGUUUCCCUUUUACAGAUGAUAUGUUCGCUUCUUUCUUGUUCAUCUGUAUACAGAGAUUACCCCAGAGGGUUUUUUUAGCCUGUCUGGCAGUGGAUGGUAAUGGAAUCAGCUUGUGAAGUAACCCAGUAUGUUUUAUGCAAGCAUAGCUUGGUGUCUUGAGGACCCUAAAGAAGCUGAAAUUCAGCUUAAAAGUAUCUUGUGGCAGCUCCUGAGUCAAUCACUUUGGAGAAAGGACACGAGUACUUCUCUGUGCCCUGCCAAGCACCAGAUGCUCAAAUACAAUGGCAUUAUUUAAUAGUGAUACUUUUGUAUUACAUUUUUCAAAGUCAUCUUAGUAAUGGUUUGAGCUUGCUAGUUGUUUAUUUACUGUAUAAUACUGUUCCUUGCUAUGGUCAUUAAUAUUAAAUUGAUGUCAAGAGCUCUUAUCAGACUACUUUUUAGGAUAGCUUAAAUAAAAUUAGGAUGGAUUUUUUUACUUUUAUUUCUGUAUUUAGGUUUUUGGUUUUGUUUGUGCUUUGAGACAAGUGCAAUAAACUAGAUUUUUAAGAAAUAA